rnacentral:piRNA from 1 species
UACUCAGUCUUCUGUCCCUGUGAACCAAG